UGUUAAAGCAUCUUCAUAGGUGCUUGGUGG
rnacentral:piRNA from 1 species